rnacentral:pre_miRNA from 1 species
UUUUUAGUAUAAGUAUGUCCCACAAUGUAUUUGGGAUAUACUUAUGCUAAAA